GCGAAUGAGUAUUUGGUCGUAGACCCGAAACCAGGUGAUCUACCCUUGGUCAGGUUGAAGUUCAGGUAACACUGAAUGGAGGACCGAACCGACUUACGUUGAAAAGUGAGCGGAUGAACUGAGGGUAGCGGAGAAAUUCCAAUCGAACUUGGAGAUAGCUGGUUCUCUCCGAAAUAGCUUUAGGGCUAGCCUCAAGUGAUGAUUAUUGGAGGUAGAGCACUGUUUGGACGAGGGGCCCCUCUCGGGUUACCGAAUUCAGACAAACUCCGAAUGCCAAAUAAUUUAACUUGGGAGUCAGAAUGUGGGUGAUAAGGUCCAUAUUCGAAAGGGAAACAGCCCAGACCACCAGCUAAGGUCCCAAAAUAUAUGUUAAGUGGAAAAGGAUGUGGCGUUGCCCAGACAACUAGGAUGUUGGCUUAGAAGCAGCCAUCAUUUAAAGAGUGCGUAAUAGCUCACUAGUCGAGUGACACUGCGCCGAAAAUGUACCGGGGCUAAACAUAU
rnacentral:rRNA from 1 species